rnacentral:SRP_RNA from 1 species
UCGUGCUAGGCGGGGAGUUAGCGGUGCCCUGAACUCCGAUUUACAUCGGAUGGACCCGAAAUCCGCUAUAGCGGGGUCGAAUGCUUCACUUGAGUCAGGGCCUUCAGGGUCGACAGUAAGGAGUUGAAGGGCGAUGAGGACCGGGUCUUGUGAUGGUUCUACCUGCAAACCCCGUCAGGUCCGAAAGGAAGCAGCGGUAAGUAGGCCAGGGCUGGUCAUAAGGAAGCCUGGUCUGAGUCUUUCGCCUUGCUGUUCCUGGAUGUCACUGACGAAGGAAGUUGCACGA